rnacentral:rRNA from 1 species
CACGGGGGGAGCAAGCGUUGUUCGGAUUCAUUGGGCGUAAAGGGCUCGUAGGCCGCUCUGUAAGUCGGGAGUGAAAGACCACGGCUCAACCGUGGAAACGCUUUCGAAACUGUGGAGCUUGAGGCCGGGAGAGGAGAUUGGAAUUCCUGGUGUAGCGGUGAAAUGCGUAGAUAUCAGGAGGAACACCCGUGGCGAAGGCGGCUUCCUGGCCUGUUCUUGACGCUGAGGCGCGAAAGCUAGGGGAGCAAACGGG